AGGAUUGGCGGCAGCUACACAUGCAAGUCGAGCGGUAACAGAGAGAAGCUUGCUUCUUUGCUGACGAGCGGCGGACGGGUGAGUAAUACUUGGGAACUUGCCUCUAGGCGGGGGACAACCACUGGAAACGGUGGCUAAUACCGCAUAAUGUCUACGGACCAAAGUGGGGGACCUUCGGGCCUCACACCUAGAGAUGGGCCCAAGCGGGAUUAGCUAGUUGGUGAGGUAAAGGCUCACCAAGGCGACGAUCCCUAGCUGUUCUGAGAGGAUGAUCAGCCACACUGGGACUGAGACACGGCCCAGACUCCUACGGGAGGCAGCAGUGGGGAAUAUUGCACAAUGGGCGCAAGCCUGAUGCAGCCAUGCCGCGUGUGUGAAGAAGGCCUUCGGGUUGUAAAGCACUUUCAGUGGUGAGGAAGGUCAGUAAGUUAAUAGCUUGCUGAAUUGACGUUAGCCACAGAAGAAGCACCGGCUAACUCCGUGCCAGCAGCCGCGGUAAUACGGAGGGUGCAAGCGUUAAUCGGAAUUACUGGGCGUAAAGCGUACGUAGGCGGUGUGUUAAGCAAGAUGUGAAAGCCCCGGGCUCAACCUGGGAAUUGCAUUUUGAACUGGCACGCUAGAGUCCUGAAGAGGGUGGUAGAAUUUCCAGUGUAGCGGUGAAAUGCGUAGAUAUUGGAAGGAAUACCAGUGGCGAAGGCGGCCACCUGGUCAGAGACUGACGCUGAGGUACGAAAGCGUGGGGAGCAAACAGGAUUAGAUACCCUGGUAGUCCACGCCGUAAACGAUGUCAACUAGUUGUUCGUGUCACUAAGACGUGAGUAACGCAGCUAACGCACUAAGUUGACCGCCUGGGGAGUACGGCCGCAAGGUUAAAACUCAAAUGAAUUGACGGGGCCCGCACAAGCGGUGGAGCAUGUGGUUUAAUUCGAUGCAACGCGAAGAACCUUACCAUCCCUUGACAUCCAGUGAACUUUCUAGAGAUAGAUUGGUGCCUUCGGGAACACUGAGACAGUGCUGCAUGGCUGUCGUCAGCUCGUGCUCGUGAGAAUGUGGGUAAGUCCCGCAACGAGCGCAACCUUAUCCUAAGUGCAGCGAUUCGGUCGAACUCUGGGGAGACUGCGGUGAUAACCGGAGGACGUAGAACGGAGCGGCAGGUCAGCAUGCCCUUACGGGAUGGCUAACACAUGCAUACAAUAGACGGUGCAAGUGCAUCGAUCUGUGCGAGCGCUACACAAUUCUACUUAGACGCCCGUCCUCGUAUCUGCGAU
rnacentral:rRNA from 1 species